GCCUUCGUGGUGUAGUGGUUCUGCACGCUGGGCCAGUAUUCCAGAGGUCCGUGGUUCGAUUCCCGGCGAAGGCG
rnacentral:tRNA from 1 species